UGGCCUACCAAGGCGACGACGGGUAGCCGGCCUGAGAGGGUGACCGGCCACACUGGGACUGAGACACGGCCCAGACUCCUACGGGAGGCAGCAGUGGGGAAUAUUGCACAAUGGGCGAAAGCCUGAUGCAGCGACGCCGCGUGAGGGAUGACGGCCUUCGGGUUGUAAACCUCUUUCAGCACGGAAGAAGCGAAAGUGACGGUACGUGCAGAAGAAGCGCCGGCUAACUACGUGCCAGCAGCCGCGGUAAUACGUAGGGCGCAAGCGUUGUCCGGAAUUAUUGGGCGUAAAGAGCUCGUAGGCGGUUUGUCGCGUCUGCUGUGAAAGCCCGGGGCUUAACCCCGUGGUGUGCAGUGGGUACGGGCAGACUAGAGUGCAGUAGGGGAGACUGGAAUUCCUGGUGUAGCGGUGAAAUGCGCAGAUAUCAGGAGGAACACCGAUGGCGAAGGCAGGUCUCUGGGCUGUUACUGACGCUGAGGAGCGAAAGCAUGGGGAGCGAACAGGAUUAGAUACCCUGGUAGUCCAUGCCGUAAACGUUGGGCACUAGGUGUGGGGGACAUUCCACGUUUUCCGCGCCGUAGCUAACGCAUUAAGUGCCCCGCCUGGGGAGUACG
rnacentral:rRNA from 1 species